AUUGAACGCUGGCGGCAUGCCUUACACAUGCAAGUCGAACGGUAACGCGGGGCAACCUGGCGACGAGUGGCGAACGGGUGAGUAAUACAUCGGAACGUGCCCAGUAGUGGGGGAUAGCCCGGCGAAAGCCGGAUUAAUACCGCAUACGACCUACGGGUGAAAGCAGGGGAUCGCAAGACCUUGCGCUAUUGGAGCGGCCGAUGUCAGAUUAGGUUGUUGGUGGGGGUAAAAAGCCUACCAAGCCGACGAUCUGUAGCUGGUCUGAGAGGACGACCAGCCACACUGGGACUGAGACACGGCCCAGACUCCUACGGGAGGCAGCAGUGGGGAAUUUUGGACAAUGGGCGCAAGCCUGAUCCAGCCAUGCCGCGUGCGGGAAGAAGGGCCUUCGGUUGUAAACCGCUUUGUCAGGGAAGAAACGCUCCGGGCUAAUACCUUGGGGUAAUGACGGUACCUGAAGAAUAAGCACCGGCUAACUACGUGCCAGCAGCCGCGGUAA
rnacentral:rRNA from 1 species